GGUUAAGCGACUAAGCGUACACGGUGGAUGCCCUGGCAGUCAGAGGCGAUGAAGGACGUGCUAAUCUGCGAUAAGCGCCGGUAAGGUGAUAUGAACCGUUAUAACCGGCGAUUUCCGAAUGGGGAAACCCAGUGUGACUCGUCACACUAUCAUUAACUGAAUCCAUAGGUUAAUGAGGCGAACCGGGGGAACUGAAACAUCUAAGUACCCCGAGGAAAAGAAAUCAACCGAGAUUCCCCCAGUAGCGGCGAGCGAACGGGGAGGAGCCCAGAGCCUGAAUCAGCAUGUGUGUUAGUGGAAGCGUCUGGAAAGGCGCGCGAUACAGGGUGACAGCCCCGUACACAAAAGCGCAUGUGCUGUGAGCUCGAUGAGUAGGGCGGGACACGUGGUAUCCUGUCUGAAUAUGGGGGGACCAUCCUCCAAGGCUAAAUACUCCUGACUGACCGAUAGUGAACCAGUACCGUGAGGGAAAGGCGAAAAGAACCCCGGCGAGGGGAGUGAAAAAGAACCUGAAACCGUGUACGUACAAGCAGUGGGAGCACAGGUUUACCUGUGUGACUGCGUACCUUUUGUAUAAUGGGUCAGCGACUUAUAUUCUGUAGCAAGGUUAACCGAAUAGGGGAGCCGGAGGGAAACCGAGUCUUAACCGGGCGUUAAGUUGCAGGGUAUAGACCCGAAACCCGGUGAUCUAGCCAUGGGCAGGUUGAAGGUUGGGUAACACUAACUGGAGGACCGAACCGACUAAUGUUGAAAAAUUAGCGGAUGACCUGUGGCUGGGGGUGAAAGGCCAAUCAAACCGGGAGAUAGCUGGUUCUCCCCGAAAGCUAUUUAGGUAGCGCCUCGUGAAUUCAUCUCCGGGGGUAGAGCACUGUUUCGGCUAGGGGGCCAUCCCGGCUUACCAACCCGAUGCAAACUGCGAAUACCGGAGAAUGUUAUCACGGGAGACACACGGCGGGUGCUAACGUCCGUCGUGAAGAGGGAAACAACCCAGACCGCCAGCUAAGGUCCCAAAGUCAUGGUUAAGUGGGAAACGAUGUGGGAAGGCCCAGACAGCCAGGAUGUUGGCUUAGAAGCAGCCAUCAUUUAAAGAAAGCGUAAUAGCUCACUGGUCGAGUCGGCCUGCGCGGAAGAUGUAACGGGGCUAAACCAUGCACCGAAGCUGCGGCAGCGAACGUAUCACUUAAAGCGAUUCAGCGGGUUACGAUUGACGGAGCGAAGCGACGUCAAAGCGUAUACAAAGUCGAGUCGGUUUAAGGAUACGUUCGUUGGGUAGGGGAGCGUUCUGUAAGCCUGUGAAGGUGUGUCGUGAGGCAUGCUGGAGGUAUCAGAAGUGCGAAUGCUGACAUAAGUAACGAUAAAGCGGGUGAAAAGCCCGCUCGCCGGAAGACCAAGGGUUCCUGUCCAACGUUAAUCGGGGCAGGGUGAGUCGACCCCUAAGGCGAGGCCGAAAGGCGUAGUCGAUGGGAAACGGGUUAAUAUUCCCGUACUUGGUGUUACUGCGAAGGGGGGACGGAGAAGGCUAUGUUGGCCGGGCGACGGUUGUCCCGGUUUAAGCGUGUAGGUGUGUGUUCCAGGUAAAUCCGGUUCACUUUAACACUGAGGCGUGAUGACGAGGCACUACGGUGCUGAAGCAACAAAUGCCCUGCUUCCAGGAAAAGCCUCUAAGCAUCAGGUAACAUCAAAUCGUACCCCAAACCGACACAGGUGGUCAGGUAGAGAAUACCAAGGCGCUUGAGAGAACUCGGGUGAAGGAACUAGGCAAAAUGGUGCCGUAACUUCGGGAGAAGGCACGCUGACAUGUAGGUGAAGUGAUUUACUCAUGGAGCUGAAGUCAGUCGAAGAUACCAGCUGGCUGCAACUGUUUAUUAAAAACACAGCACUGUGCAAACACGAAAGUGGACGUAUACGGUGUGACGCCUGCCCGGUGCCGGAAGGUUAAUUGAUGGGGUCAGCGCAAGCGAAGCUCCUGAUCGAAGCCCCGGUAAACGGCGGCCGUAACUAUAACGGUCCUAAGGUAGCGAAAUUCCUUGUCGGGUAAGUUCCGACCUGCACGAAUGGCGUAAUGAUGGCCAGGCUGUCUCCACCCGAGACUCAGUGAAAUUGAACUCGCUGUGAAGAUGCAGUGUACCCGCGGCAAGACGGAAAGACCCCGUGAACCUUUACUAUAGCUUGACACUGAACAUUGAGCCUUGAUGUGUAGGAUAGGUGGGAGGCUUUGAAGCGUGGACGCCAGUCUGCGUGGAGCCGACCUUGAAAUACCACCCUUUAAUGUUUGAUGUUCUAACGUGGACCCGUAAUCCGGGUUGCGGACAGUGUCUGGUGGGUAGUUUGACUGGGGCGGUCUCCUCCUAAAGAGUAACGGAGGAGCACGAAGGUUGGCUAAUCCUGGUCGGACAUCAGGAGGUUAGUGCAAUGGCAUAAGCCAGCUUGACUGCGAGCGUGACGGCGCGAGCAGGUGCGAAAGCAGGUCAUAGUGAUCCGGUGGUUCUGAAUGGAAGGGCCAUCGCUCAACGGAUAAAAGGUACUCCGGGGAUAACAGGCUGAUACCGCCCAAGAGUUCAUAUCGACGGCGGUGUUUGGCACCUCGAUGUCGGCUCAUCACAUCCUGGGGCUGAAGUAGGUCCCAAGGGUAUGGCUGUUCGCCAUUUAAAGUGGUACGCGAGCUGGGUUUAGAACGUCGUGAGACAGUUCGGUCCCUAUCUGCCGUGGGCGCUGGAGAACUGAGGGGGGCUGCUCCUAGUACGAGAGGACCGGAGUGGACGCAUCACUGGUGUUCGGGUUGUCAUGCCAAUGGCACUGCCCGGUAGCUAAAUGCGGAAGAGAUAAGUGCUGAAAGCAUCUAAGCACGAAACUUGCCCCGAGAUGAGUUCUCCCUGAGACUUAGAGUCUCCUGAAGGAACGUUGAAGACGACGACGUUGAUAGGCCGGGUGUGUAAGCGCAGCGAUGCGUUGAGCUAACCGGUACUAAUGAACCGUGAGGCUUAACCUU
rnacentral:rRNA from 2 species